rnacentral:rRNA from 1 species
CUCAAAGGAAUUGACGGGGACCCGCACAAGCGGUGGAUGAUGUGGAUUAAUUCGAUGCAACGCGAAAAACCUUACCUACCCUUGACAUGUCUGGAAUCCUGAAGAGAUUUGGGAGUGCCCGAAAGGGAACCGGAACACAGGUGCUGCAUGGCUGUCGUCAGCUCGUGUCGUGAGAUGUUGGGUUAAGUCCCGCAACGAGCGCAACCCUUGUCGUUAAUUGCCAUCAUUAAGUUGGGCACUUUAACGAGACUGCCGGUGACAAACCGGAGGAAGGUGGGGAUGACGUCAAGUCCUCAUGGCCCUUAUGGGUAGGGCUUCACACGUAAUACAAUGGUCGGUACAGAGGGUUGCCAACCCGCGAGGGGGAGCCAAUCCCAGAAAGCCGAUCGUAGUCCGGAUUGCAGUCUGCAACUCGACUGCUGAAAGUCGGAAUCGCUAGUAAUCGCGGAUCAGCAUGUGGCGGUGAAUACGUUCCCGGGCCUUGUACACACCGGCCGUCACACUG